UUCCCCACUUUAACUUUAAAAAUUGUUUAUGUAUGUAGGUAUUUUAAGAUGUAUUUCUCUUACAGGCCACUUUCUGGAAGAAAGGGCCAAAGCAUCUGAAUGCCUGACAUCCAAGAAAGAGGAACAUGCAAGCGUUUCGGGUGGGGGGGGGGAGGUGUGCUGUGUUCACGUAAUACAAAACCGUAUUUUUAUGUAUGUUUGAAUGCCCCUUCAUGAAGGCAUGAAGGAAUUCAGUGUACGGCUGCUCUACUUAGUGCUCUAUGUAUGGAUUUAUUCCACUGAAAAAUAUUAGUCUGGAGUGCUGUGAGGUGAAUUGAAAGCCCUAUCUGUGGGGUCAGACCAGUGAUAAACCAAUAUCACAUGGGAAGCAUCACAAAGCUGUACUUUAUCAAGGGAUGUCAACAAGCAUGAAUGAGCCAGCCUUUUAUAAAUACAGUACUGUCAACUGAAGCAGCAUUAUGAAAGGUGAACGCAUACAAAAACUGUUCCCUUUACAUUAUAAAAUAAAACAGUAAUCUAAUAGAUUGUUUAAUCACCAAAGGACAGCUGGGGUUAUUUAUACAACACCAAAUGCUCUUACCUGUAUUUUACCUCUGCUAAAUAUUAUAAACCCUGUUUUUAUUGCCACAAUCAUAAUAAAGUGUACUUCUGUUUUUUUUAAAAAAACAAAUGCAACUGUUAUUUUUUUCAGAAAAAGAAAAAGAAACUGGUAACAAUUUCCACGACUCUCAAUACGCUUACUCUAAAACCAUCUCACACAAAGACAUUUAUACCUCCUAUAAAAAGUGUUUGAAAAUAAAUGACAUGAACACAUAGCUCAGUUAUUUAUUCUCUUCCUUUUCUGGGACAAAUAAAAUCCACUUUCACCUGUAUCAUCGCUGGGAUGCUAAGUACCAAUUAAUCUGGCAUGAAGAUUAGCAUUACCAAAACACAUCCACACAGAAAAAUAAUAAUAAUAAGGAAUAUUGUGAUAGAAGUGGAAUCCCUCCAUAUGGCACAGUCCCAAUGGAACAUAAUCACCUGCGGCCAUUUUGAGCCAAUAGAACCCUUGCCCAGAUAUGCUGUACUGAAAGUUCCACUGAGGCUUGUUUUGUAUUUCAAAGGAUCAGCACUAAAAGACUUCUCCCAGGCUCAGGAAUGGCCAGCUUGUUUCUUGGAUCACAACUCUCAGUACCCCCCAACCAGGAGAGUCAGAGUUCAGGUUCUAAAUACAAAUUUUUCCCAACCUCUGCAUUCAUUCAGUCUGAAUUUUUCUCUGCUGAUACCAUUCUUCCCCAUACCAGAAUGGAGACGCAGACAUCCCUCUCAUUCCAAAUCAAGGUGAGAGAACACCUUGAAGCAGUGUUUGGCUGUCUCUUUGCUUCUCCUCUUCUCUUACAGCUGCCUAUCCCUGCAUAGUGGCAUCAGCAUCUCCCCAUCCUGGAUUUGCCCAGGCUCCAAAGGUCUGCUACUGACGCCUACUCAAGGUUUCCCUUAUAAAUCCCCCACACCUCCAUCUUCUGAGCAGCACCAGGUGUCUUGAGUAUGGCAUUAUUUUUAAUGUUCCCCAGUGCCCAUAAUGUGGCGUUGCACUGAGACACUGAGGAAAAUUGGAUCCAUUACCUUUGGCCACCCUGUGCUACUUGCUGGCUGCCACUUCCGGCCAGCUGCUUGACAGUGUGCUUUACCUAGGACUCAGCCCAAACCUUGAGUUGCCCCUGCCACUUGACAUUUUGGGAGGGGGGCACUGGAAUUUGGCUUCUGGGUUCACAAAGUUGGCUAUUCUACAACUUCAGUCAUUCUAAUCAUAAUUCACACACUCUGCACAGAAUCAGGUGUGUGUCAAUAAACAGGGUGAUAAUGGAUCCCA
ensembl:lncRNA